rnacentral:rRNA from 1 species
AUGGCCGCGGGCGCGGCGGGCGUGCCGCCGGCGCAGCUGGGGUCGCUGUGGUCGACGCUCGAGGACCAGCGUGGGGCGCGGGGGGACGUCCCGCUGCUCUCGUCUGCGUGGAGCCUGCCCGGCUCCCAGGCCGGCGGCGACGGGGGGCCCAAGCAGGGGCUGCUCCGGCGCGCCGGCGCCGCCGUGGCGGGGGCGUGGGGCGCGCUCUGCGACGGGGUGGCCGAGAUGUGGGCGUUCGCGCGGGCCGACCGCCGGAAGCCCGUCUUCGCGGCCAAGGUCGGCCUCGCGCUCGCCCUCAUCUCCUUCCUCGUCUUCCUCCGCGAGCCGCGCGACAUCGUCAGCCACUCCGUCUGGGCCAUCCUCACCGUCGUCGUCGUCUUCGAGUUCAGCAUCGGUGCAACAUUGAGCAAAGGUUUCAAUAGGGGUUUAGGAACUCUUACUGCAGGAGGGCUUGCUCUAGCAGUUGCCGAAUUGUCCAAAAACUUGGGUGCAUUGGAAGAAGUGAUCCUUAUUAUAAGCAUCUUUACUGUUGGUUUUAUGACAAACUUGGCAAAGCUACACCCAACAAUGAAGCCUUAUGAAUAUGGAUUUCGUGUAUUCUUGUUGACAUUCGUUUAUGUCAUGGUCUCUGGGUACAACACAGGGAAGUUCACUGAUACGGCUGUAAGUAGAUUUGUAUUGAUUGCUCUUGGUGCUGCUGUCAGUCUGGGAAUCAAUAUAGGCAUUUACCCAAUCUGGGCUGGAGAGGAUUUGCACAGUUUGAUUGCAAAGAAUUUUGCUGGUGUUGCAAAAUCCUUAGAAGGCUGUGUCGAUGGAUAUCUGAAAUGCAUGGAGUAUGAAAGGAUCCCUUCAAAAAUUCUUGUAUAUCAAGCUUCUGAUGAUCCUCUAUAUAGUGGGUACAGGGCAGCUGUCGAGGCGUCAGCACAAGAGGAAACCCUGCUAGGUUUUGCUAUAUGGGAACCGCCCCAUGGUCCGUACAAAACGAGGAACUAUCCUUGGAAGGGCUUCACUAAAGUUGGUGGAGCAUUGAGGCACUGUUCCUUUGCAGUCAUGGCAUUGCAUGGUUGCAUUCUUUCAGAAAUUCAGGCACCGCCAGAAAGCAGAAGGGUUUUCAUUUCAGAAAUUCAUAGAGUGGGCAGAGAAGGCGCUAAGGUGUUGCGCGAGCUUGGAGACAAUGUUAAGACAAUGACCAAGUUGAGGUCUUCAGAUAUUCUACUGGAAGUUCACUUGGCAGCUGAAGAGUUGCAAAAAAAGAUUGAUGAGAAGUCAUAUCUUCUGGUGAACACUGAAAGAUGGGACACUAGCAAGCGAGCUGAAGGAAUAAAAGAUGCCAUAAAUGGCAACAGCGCGGUGGCAAAAGAGAAUAAGAACGAAGUGACGGAGCCUACCAUUGCUGAUCAAACUGCGGCUCAGCAUUAUAAGAGCUUUGCUGCUGCUUCGUUUCUUAGCCGAUAUGAUUCAUCAGCUACUAUAGACGGUUACAAGACGUUACUAUCCUGGCCUGCCCGAAGAUCAUUCCAUCCAAACUUGCCGCUUGAAGACGAGGAGUCAAAAACAUAUGAAAGUGCAAGUGCCUUGUCCUUGGCCACAUUUGCCUCGCUCCUAAUCGAGUUUGUUGCCCGGCUACAGAAUGUUGUUAACGCAUUUGAGGAGCUGAGUGAGAAGGCUAAUUUCAAGGACCCUGUGGAGGAGCCUGCUGCAGUUAGCGUGGAUGAUGGCGGGGUUCUCGCCAAAAUAUGCAGAUCUGUUGGGCUGAAGAGUUGA